AAAAAAAAAGAAAAAAAAGAAAAGUAAAAGUGGAAAAGAAUAAAUAAAUAAUAUAUAAUAUUAUGUCCUUUUUGUUUUCUUCUAUU
rnacentral:ribozyme from 14 species